ensembl:lincRNA
CCUGCGAGGUGUGGUCCUGGGCCUCUGGGCCCACCUGCUGAGUCUGCUUUGGCUCCCAGUGUCAGAACUGGAAUGCUGGGAGUAACCCGGCUCCGUCUAGCCCCAGAGGAGCUGCCACCGAGGCCUGUCAGGUGUGGAGAGUUUUUUCCAACGACUGGCUUCAUAGGCCCCACUGGAGACCGUUUUGGCAUUUGAGCCCCAGGUCCUGUGUAUCUUACGUCAGCCCCAGUGUUGAGGAUGCCAGGGGCCCUGUACCUCUGAAGCCCCUUCUGCCUGCCCUGCAGCAGUUGCAGCUCCUGGGCCGGUUCUGCCAGGAGCAGGGGAUCCCGUUCCCACCCAUCUCGCCCAGCCCCGAAGAGCAGCUCCAGCCUCGGGAGUGCCACACCUUCUCCGACCCCACCUGCCCCGGAGCCCCUGCGGUGCUGCACUUUCCUCUGGUCAGCGACUCCUUCCGGGAGUACUCGGCCCCUGGUGAGCUGCUGUUCACCUCCCCAUCCUGCUGCCCCAGUCCCCCACACCUCCUCCGUCCCCUGUGCCUCUCCAAACCCAUCUUCCCCACAACGUGUUCCCCAUGCCAGGCUGCACUCUCUCCACAGGGGUCCGGCGGCCACCCGAGGAGGCGGCAGCUGGGGAGGUGAACCUGUCUUCAUCGGACUCUCCCUACCACUACACGAAGGUGACCUACAGCCAGGAGGACGUGGACAAGUUCCUGCACCUGACACAUUACAAUGUCUGCAACAACCAGGAGCAGCUGCUGGAGGCUCUGCGCCAGGCAGUGCAGCGGAGGCGGCAGCGCAGGCCCCACUGAUAGUUAAGGGUGGCAGGGGCCCCGGCCAACUCUCAUUCAUUCCUUGGCUGCUGAGUUGCAGACAGGAAUGCAGGGGGAGGCCAGGCAAUGGCUGUUUCCUGCCACAUGGGUAUGGCCACCCCAGAAUCUUCUCCAAACAAACAAACACUGGUGCCCCUGCCCUCCCCUGGACCAGCCAGCCUCCUAGAAUAAGCGUGGGAGUGGAUUCCAGAGCUGACAGGCGCUGCGGCAGCGACCACAGUGACGGGACUGGGAGCAGAUGGUUACACUGGAGACCACAGCCGUGGCUGCCACCCCUCAUGGUAUGAGCCCUCCAGGCACACGGCUGUAUAUGCGUGUGCACGUCUAGGCACAUCCUGGCAUGGGGCCUAUGCACGGAGGAUUUGCCUGUCUCCAGUCCCUCCUCCACUUUCACCUAACCUCAGGUGUCCCCUCCCCCUGGAGAGCCUGAAGCCCUCUGGUUUGGAAGGGAAGGACAUGUGGGUGAGGGGGGUUGAGCAUCGAAAUGAUGCUGGGAUCUACAAGGAGGGACUGAGGAGCCAGGUAAGAGCCUCCUGCCCCCGCACAUCCACCUUCGCAUCUCCUCCCUGGCCUGCAGGCCGGGACGUGCUGGCCCUCUCCAUUGCCAUGGAGUGGGGAUUGGGGAAAGGAGGGGAGGACCAGGUAGAGAACGGGUUGGAACAAGGGUGGGGCAGGGUCUGGCCGUCCUGCCAAUGUGCUGUGCCUUGGAGAGGGGAGAGGAGGGAGGAAAGUGAGGAGUGCGUGGGAAACAAACCCAGGCAGGCUCUCAGCACUGGGCAGAGGGAAACCUGGCUGCUCCUCCCACAAG